rnacentral:rRNA from 1 species
CUGCGAAUGGCUCAUUAAAUCAGUUAUAGUUUAUUUGAUGGUUGGAUAACCGUGGUAAUUUAGAGAUACAUGCGUCGAGUCCCGACGGUGAUUCAUAGUAACUGUUCGGAGCGCAGGGGCGCCGGCGCCGGAUCAUUCAAGUUUCUGCCCUAUCAACUGUCGAUGGUAAGGUAUCGGCUUACCAUGUUGCAACGGGGACGGAGAAUUAGGGUUCGAUUCCGGAGAGGCUGAGAACGGCUACCACAUCCGGCAGCAGGCGCGCAAUUACCAAUCCCGACACGGGGAGGUAGUGACAAUAAAUAACAAUACAGGUCUUGUAAUUGGAAUGAGACAAUCUAAAUAACGAGAACAAGGGCAAGUCUGGUGCCUUCCAGCUCCAAUAGCGUAUAUUAAAGUUGUUGGAUUUCGGCGGCGCUACGGUCCGCCGGCGGUGGUAUCUCUCGAGGGCCGCGCGUGCUCUUGACUGGCGCGACUCGGGACGUUUACUUUGAAAAAAUUAGAGUGUUCAAAGCAGGCUGGAUACAUUAGCAUGGAAUAAUGGAAUAGGAUUUUGUUGGUUUCUGGGCCGAGGUAAUGAUUAAUAGGGACAGUUGGGGGCAUUCGUAUUAAUUGUCAGAGGUGAAUUCUUGGAUUUAUGGAAGACGAACGCAUGCGAAAGCAUUUGCCAAGGAUGUUUCGUUAAUCAAGAACGAAAGUUUUCGAAGACGAUUAGAUACCGUCGUAGUUCCAACCAUAAACUAUGCCGACUAGGGAUCGGAGGACGACUCCUUCGGCACCUUUCGAGAAAUCAAAGUUUUUGGGUUCCGGAGUAUGGUCGCAAGACUGAAACUUAAAGAAUUGACGGAAGGGCCAGGAGUGGAGCUUAUUUGACUCAACACGGGAAAACUCAGUCCAGACAUAGAA